AACGCACGCUGGCGGCAGGCUUAACACAUGCAAGUCGAACGCCCGUAGCAAUACGGGAGUGGCGGACGGGUGAGUAACGCGUGGGAACGUACCCUGAGGUACGGAAUAACCGAGGGAAACUUCGGCUAAUACCGUAUGAGCCCCGCAAGGGGGAAAGAUUUAUCGCCUUGGGAGCGGCCCGCGUCGGAUUAGCUAGUUGGUGGGGUAACGGCCUACCAAGGCUUCGAUCCGUAGCUGGUCUGAGAGGACGAUCAGCCACACUGGGACUGAGACACGGCCCAGACUCCUACGGGAGGCAGCAGUGGGGAAUCUUGCGCAAUGGGGGCAACCCUGACGCAGCCAUGCCGCGUGAACGAUGAAGGCCUUAGGGUUGUAAAGUUCUUUUACCCGUGACGAUGAUGACGGUAACGGGGGAAUAAGCUCCGGCUAACUUCGUG
rnacentral:rRNA from 1 species